CAGAUUGUAGCUUAUUAAAAAGUUUAUUAUUUACAUUAAUAUGAAAAAGUUCAAAUUUCUUUCUGA
rnacentral:tRNA from 1 species